rnacentral:lncRNA from 1 species
CAAGGAAAGGGAGCUCCACUCCCGACCGACGACCAUGAUGGCCGGAGGAGAAGGCUGUGGCGGCGAUGGCAUGCCAAGUCCGGUGACCGACGAUGGCAACCAGCGAUCGAAAAAUCAAAAAUAAUAGAAAAAAUAGGGCAUCCAGAAAAUAAAAUUUUCAAGGGAUUUUAGGUAGAAAAACUCAAAAAAUUUUAAGAUUAAAACCAAGAAGGAUUGAGGGAAUAAGAGAGAAGAGAUUUACCUAAUUUAGAUGGGAUUUUGAGCUGAUUUUUUAUGGCCAAAUUAAAAAUAAACUUGCUGGAAAAAUAGGAAG